UAACUUAAACGCCCAAGCGAAUGUCAAACGGGCCGAAUAGGAAUAAGAGUCGCACCGUUGGGGCUCCAAAAUUCGCAGCCCUAGGGGCGAUUCAUUGAUUGACCCGAACUCUCUGCCAUGGCGUGCAAUCCCGGCUGUAUCUCUCACAAAUUCCGAACCUCACGCAUCAGGGCUCCGUUCUCUCAUCCUAUCCUUCCAAAGAGACCUCUUAAUUUUGUUUUCCACGUUCUCUCACGCAAUUCCGCAAACAUUUCACGCACUGCUGCUGUAUCCGGAAGCGGCUUCACUUGGGACGAUGUUUUCGAAGUCGCACGCUCGGAAAACCGCUCGUCUGAUCUCGACGGCUUCUUCAACAAAAUCAAACUAUGCAAUCGGGGCUCCGAUAAGCAAACGAAGUUCAUUCCCUUUGUUACCGAGGACCAAACUGUCGGCUAUGUUCAUAACGGUUUUGCUGACCAUUUGAGGAGGUUCCAGGACGUGUUUAUUUUUCCAACAAAUAAUUCUUACAACAAUCAUUUCGGAAACCAUGUUACACUACAUCCAGCGUUGAGAACACAUGAGGAGAAGACUAGAGCUGUUGCAGAUGUAGUCAAAUGCCUUGGAGAAGAAAUUAUUCCAGGUAUACGGAAUGAGCUAUACCCGGUCACUUCAUCCUUUGGAAUACCAGCAUUUUUCUCACUGGAACGUGCAGCAGCUCCUUACUUUGGGAUAAAGGCUUAUGGAGUUCACAUGAAUGGCUACGUUGAAAGAGCUGGCCAGAAAUAUCUUUGGAUAGGAAAAAGAAGUGAAGUGAAACCCACUUACCCUGGCAUGCUUGAUCAUCUGGUUGCUGGAGGACUGCCUCAUGGGAUAGCAUGUGGGAAGAAUCUUGUAAAGGAAUGCGAGGAAGAAGCAGGGAUAUCAAGUUCGAUUUCCAACAAAGCCAUACCAGUUGGUGCUGUCUCGUAUGUGGACAUUGAUGGGUAUAGAUACAAGAGAGAUGUUCUAUUUUGCUAUGAUUUGAGGCUUCCUGAAGAUUUUAUUCCUAAUAAUAAAGAUGGGGAGGUAGAGAGCUUCAAAUUGAUACCGGUAGCGGAUGUUGCAAACAUCAUCCGGAACACACAGUUCUUCAAAGCAAAUUGCAAUCUUGUUAUCAUUGAUUUCCUCUUUCGACAUGGGUACAUUUUUCUGCUUUGCUGCUUAUUUUAUUGUUGUGUCUCUUGUUUGAGUAUAAAACAAUGUUAAAACGUUUUGGGUGAAAAAAAAAAGAGGGAAUGCUACUCUGCACUAUUUCCUAAACCUGUUGAGUGUGAUGAAUUGAAAAAUCAUUCUAUUUCGUUUUAACCAUAGUUUGAAUUUGAUAUAAUUGUUUAAAUGUUUUCUAUAAUAUGGGCAAGGAAGUCUCUGAAAACUUUACAAGUGUUUGUCUCAGUAUCUAUUGAACUCAUAGCCAGCUGGUACUCUGUCACGUAUCAGUCUUAGUGAUCCCCUCCUCCAUCUAAUGGAGGUCUGUUAUCUCUCAUUUUAUCUCUCUUCGGGCUUAACACACCAUACCUAGCAGAAAUUAGAGCUGGUGGUUCAGCAUAUACACCAUGAUUUCCAGUUAUUCCUCAUUGCCUUUACUUCCCAGGCAAAUAUGUCGUGAGAUAUUAGAAAUACUCCAACAACAUCACCAAGCCUUCAUCUCGCUAGUUAUAUAAGACCGGAAGAAUGUGGAUACUUGAAACUACUACAGAGUUUGAGGAGUGGAGAUUGCUUCUAGAUUACAGCAUAUGGGGAAGGUUAACUAUUUUAUGGAUGCCGGUACAGAAAUAAUCGAAAAUGAAGUGAUAUUGCUAUCCCCCUCGUGCUCCUAAGAUUUGAUAAGCUGGAAUUAUCAAGUUUGUGAGUGCGAUUGAACAGGGAGAUCCAGUUCUGUAUGCUUCUUGUUUUCCUUUGUUUGUUCCCCAUCUAUCUACUUUGUAUGCAGUUGUGGCAUUACACAAGGUAACAGAAAGACGUCGAAAGUUGUGAAUUUGGCAUAAAUUUAGUGUUUUUGUUA